rnacentral:rRNA from 1 species
AACUCUUAGAUAAAUUCUAUAAAUAAACGAAGUGAAUUGAAGUUUCUUAGUAACUUCAGGAAAAUAAAUCAAACGAGAUUCUACGAUUAGUGUGAAUAAAAGUAGAAAAGCCUAAAAAUAACCAAGUAAAAUGGAUUAAUCUGUUUGAACAUAGGGGAACCUUCCUCUAAGGCUAAAUAUGAUAUAUAAGCGAUAGAGAAAAGUACCGUGAGGGAACUAUCUUGAAAUAGUAGUUUUAUAAGCAGCUCUAGUUAAGUUUAAUAAAAAAAAAGAGCGUACCUUUUGUAUAACAGCAAGUUAAUAUUAGAUGCGAGCAUAUCACUAUGCCUAGAUAAACCGAUUAUGAAAUAAUGAAAAAGUAUCUAAUAUUAGACCCGAAGGCUAGUGAUCUUACCAUAGUCAGGAUAAUAAAGGUCCGAACGGUUGAUUGUUGCAAAAAUCUCCGAAGAACUGUGGUAAGUUGGUGAAAGACAAUACUGACUAGUAUAGCUGGUUUUCCGCGAAACCUAUAUAAGUAGGUAAUUUAAUAACAUCUUAGCAGGUACAGCACUGUAAUCUCUGGCAAAAAAAAGAAUAAACUUCAGUUUAUUUUAAUUGCGCAUAUCGGGGGAUUGUAAUGAUUUUAUCGGGGAGCAAUUGCUCUCGGAAUGGCAAAGAUGAAUGUUGAAUAAUCAGACAUAGUACGAUAAGGUUGUAUGUCUAAAGGGAAACAGCCCAGAACAAGUGUUUAAGGUUCCAAAAUUAUUGUUAAGUGAAAUUAAGGAAGUAGUUUUCGAAUACAACCAGGAAAUAGGCUUAGAAGCGGCCAUUUUUUGAAGACCUACCAGAUGAUAUGGGAAAUCAUCUAUGUGGGAGAAACUAUCAAACUCCGGGGACCUCCUAAAGCUUCUGAUACCAAGCUAUAUACGAAAGUAUAUAAGUGGCUGAACUAAUUACUCAGGUAUGGUAAUAAGUCAGAAGAUGAGUAAAAACGAAAUGGAAUAUCGCGGAUCCUCGCCUUAAGCUUAUGGAAUUUUCUUUAAAGUAACGGCCUCUAAGUUUACAUACCUAAAGGAUUAAACGAUGAGAAAUUCUAACCUAUGCUUGACAACCUUAAGUAAUUAAAACAAAACACUUUGCGUAAGAUGACAAGUCUAAGUAUAGAGUGUGCCGUCUGCCCAAUGAUGAAAGGCUAACGGAUUUAUUUAGCUGACUAAUAUAAGCUAGAUUUUGAAGGAACCCCCGUUUAAUGGCGGCCUUACCUAUGAGGGUCCUAAGGUAGCGGAAUACCUUGGCCGUUAAAUGCGGUCUCUGCAUGUUAUCUUAAUGUCGAAGUUCGAUCUAACAAGGGGAAAAAAGUUAUAGUUAUCAAAGAUGAUAGCUAUAAUUCUUUUCUGUCUUUAAUUGACCCUUAUAUUAUACCAGAUAUGAGGUUUAAAUUGCCUAUAUAAAAACUUUUAAAUUUGUAAUAAGAUGAAGACAUAGUCUGAACCAUUCUGUUAGGGGUGGAAUAAGAGAUAAACCUCUUAUUAUAACAUAAUUGAACAGGCUAAUUGCGCAAGAGAGUACAAAUUGAGUGCGCAGUUUGGCACCUUAAAUACGUCGUGAGACAGUAUGGUUUCUAUCUUCUAGAGGAAAUUAGAGUAGAAUAAGGUUAGCCCCUUCGUACGAAAGGAGUUGGGUAUGUUAACCUAUGGUUUACCUGUUGUUUAUGCGUCCUAAUAUUGAAGCUAAAUGAGCAUGUUUUUUUAAUUAAACUUGCCUAGUAAUUAUAGGGUAUUUCUUUUACUCAAGAUUUAUAUAAAGGCAUAGGCAGGGCAGGAAGGCUACGUUAGUUAAAGAUAAGUGCUGAAUGCAUAUAGGCACGAAACUUACCUUAAGAUACUCUUAAAUAUAUGUAGAAGAAUACUACAAAUAUUACUUUUAGUAUUAAUAGGCUUUAGCUGAAAUAGUUUUGAUUCUUUUAGGUAUAAAGUACUAAUAUUAUUA